rnacentral:lncRNA from 1 species
AAGUAAGGAUAGUUCAUUAACACUAUGAUAUUCUUUUCUUCUGGAGCUCAUUUAUUUUAUUAGCUUUAUAUUUUAAGUGAUAACAGAGGAUUAAUCAGAGACGCUCUCUGAGUGGAGGGUUGUGACAAAUGGACUUUAAAUUACACUUGUGUAUUUCAUAAUCAUUUCCAUCCCAGUGUCCAACAUGAUAGGUCUUAUAGACGGUCUACUUGAUUAUGGAAGUGUUUUACCUGCAUAUCACGUCAAUUGACAUAUGCACUACAAAUUUCAUGGUCAUACAAUAACAUGAACCUUCUCCAUUCUAUGGCUGCGUUCUUUUCUCAGUUCUAGUCCUCGUUUUCCGUUAGCACGCUUUUCAAACUACUAAACGGUGCAUUUUUCUGUAAAAAGUUUCUAUACGAAAGUUACUUAAAAAAAUCAUAUUAGUCCAUUUUUUUAAAAAAGAAUAGCAGAUACUUAAUUAAUCAUGUGCUAAUGGAUCGCUCCGUUUUCCGUAAUCACUGUUGAACUGAGAAAAGAACGCAGCCUAUGCCAGUUUUCUGAAUUUCAUUGAACUUAUUCAUUUUUUCUCAUACAACAUUAUCUGUAACACACGAGUAUUAAAUGGCAAAUAUCAGAUUUCAAAGUUCAAACACUAAUAGUUGCAUAUAUUUGUACAAACUAGCUAAAUACCCGUAUGUUGCAACAGGAUCACAUGAAAGCCCAAAAAGCAAAAUAAAAUUAUUCCCACUCUAAUCAUCAUAUCAUAUUUGGUACAAUCUUGUACAUGUAUGUCGAGCUACACAAUUGCUCAUAGUGAUGAACAAUUGAUAUAAAUUAUACACAUUGUAUUUGAUUUAUAGGAGUAAAUUUCCUGUAUACCCCUGAAAAAUCACUCAAUCCCUUUUAUACCCCUGAUAUUUAACUUGAUCCCUUCCAUGCCCUUGCCGUCACAUUUUCCUUCAUUUCACCGUUAAGUUGGUGGCAAAUGUCUUUAAUGCCCUUGAUGAUUUAGGUUUGAAUAUAAGCUUGAAAACGAUUGAAAAUUUUGCUUGAGUGCAGAAUAUGUGCAUUUUAUGUAGAAAAUGGGACUAAAUAAUUAGUGCGGAAAAUUUUAACAUAAAUUUUGAAAAUAAAACAAAUGUAAUAAAUAAAAAUUUUUAUUUAAAAUUUAAUAGAACAAUAGAUUUUUUUUAUCGGGAGCAUUCAUAAAAAAAAUAUGGUGAGCAUUCGCAGUCCUAUCUUUGUAUGUAUGCUCCUCAUUUUUAUGACUUUUAAAAAUAAAAUAAAUACGUAUUUUUUAUUUCAUUAUCUAAAAAUAUUUUGUCAUAAAUAAUGUGUCACACAUCAAACUCAUAACUAUAAUAGUCUCAUGCGACAAACUUUUACAUUUCCAAUAAUGUAAUUCGUAAAUUUUUAUGUUCAUCCAAAGGGUAAAAUGGUUAUUUUUAUAGAAAUUAGACAGUCAACUGAUGGAAGGGGCAUGGAAGGGAUCAAAAUCAAAUUUUAGGGGUAUACAAGGAAGUAAGCAAAAUUCAGGGGUGUAGAAGGGAUUAGCUAAACUUUUAGGGUCAUAGAAGGGAUUUUGUCUUCAUAUAGUGGACACUAACAUCAUGGGCCCACAUGGCAUUUUUCAAAAAAAUAAAACAAAAUAGCUAAUACUUAAUUAAUCACGCGCUAAUGGACCACUCCGUUUUCCGUGCGCAAGAGAUGUGUUUCCAACACAGGAUGCUGAACAAAGCCUUAAUAUGGAGGGACAUCUUCUGAAUGAAAAUACACCCUUAUGUUCGUGUAUAUUGAUUGUUUCACUAAUAUUUAUGUAUUUCCUUGUGAACAAUUGUGCUGAUAGAAACGAUAGUACAUUAGUGCUAUACUUAUUGUUAUAUUUGUGUUUAUAUUAAUGUAAAUGUGAAUCUCGACAAGUUGCAGCAGUAAGAGGCGUGCUGAUUGUGUUUAAGCUUCUGCCUUCUUGGUAAUAAAAUC